rnacentral:rRNA from 1 species
CCUACGGGGGGCUGCAGUGGGGGAUAUUGCACAAUGGGGGAAACCCUGAUGCAGCGACGCCGCGUGUGGGAAGACGGUCCUCUGGAUUGUAAACCACUGUCCCCAGGGACGAAGAUGACGGUACCUGGGGAGGAAGCACCGGCUAACUACGUGCCAGCAGCCGCGGUAAUACGUGGGGAGCGAGCGUUGUCCGGAAUUACUGGGUGUAAGGGGAGCGUAGGCGGGACUGCAAGUUGGGUGUCAAAUCUACCGGCUCAACCGGUAGCCGCACUCAAAACUGCAGUUCUUGAGUGAAGUAGAGGCCGGCGGAAUUCCUAGUGUAGCCGUGAAAUGCGUAGAUAUUAGGAGGAACACCAGUGGCGAAGGCGGCCUGCUGGGCUUUUACUGACGCUGAGGCUCGAAAGUGUGGGGAGCAAACAGGAUUAGAUACCCUUGUAGUC